rnacentral:tRNA from 1 species
GGGAAUGUGGCUUAGUGGUAGAGUACUUGCCUAGCAUGCAUAAAACCCUGGGUUCAAUUCCUCAGUACCA